UAUGUGAUCGUCUCUUGCAUAUCAAUAAGCGGAGGAAAAGAAACUAACAAGGAUUCCCCUAGUAACGGCGAGUGAAGCGGGAAGAGCUCAAAUUUGAAAUCUUAAAGGGUUUCCCUUUACGAAUUGUAGUUUAAAGAAGUGUUUUCUGUUGAGGUUUUGGUAAAAGUUCUUUGGAAUAGGACAUCAUAGAGGGUGAGAAUCCCGUAUUUGACCUUUACUUUCAACUUUGUGAUACACUUUCAAAGAGUCGGAUUGUUUGGGAAUGCAGUCCAAAAUGGGUGGUAAAUUUCAUCUAAAGCUAAAUAUUGGCGAGAGACCGAUAGCGAACAAGUACCGUGAGGGAAAGAUGAAAAGAACUUUGAAAAGAGAGUUAAACAGUACGUGAAAUUGUCAAAAGGGAAGCGUUUGACACCAGUGUUGUUUUUCUGAAAAUCAAUUAAAGAACUGUUUAUGCUAAGUUGUUUAGACUUUAUCAGCUAACUGUUUAGUUUUGAGCUUUUCUUUAAUGCACUUUUCAGUUAACAAGUCAACAUCAAUUUCUUUUGCUGUAAAAAAGCUUGAGGAAGGUGGCUUGAGAUUCGUCUUAAGUGUUUAUAGCCUCUUGCCUAUGCAGUCGGAGAGAUUGAGGUCUGCAGCGUAGAUCCUUCGGGGCUAAAUGCAUUUGUGCUAAGUUAUAGCAUUUUAUAGACAACUUGUUGACUAUGAUUUGUCUUGUAGCUUACUCGCUUAUGUUAUUUUACCUACGCUUAGGAUGUUGAUCUACAGAGCGAGAGU
rnacentral:rRNA from 1 species